UUCCGGUUGAUCCUGCCGGAGAACACUGCUAUUGGAAUCCGACUAAGGCAUGCGAGUCGAGAGGGUACGGCCCUCGGCGGACUGCUCAGUAACAAGUGGACAAUCUGCCCUUAGGUGGGGGAUAAUCUCGAGAAAUUGAGCAUAAUACCCCAUAGCUCUAGAUUGCUGGAAUGCUUUUAGAGCAAAAGCCCCGGCGCCUAAGGAUGAGUCUGCGGCCUAUCAGGUUGUAGUGAGUGUAACGGACUCACUAGCCGACGACGGGUACGGGUCCUGGAAGGGAGAGCCCGGAGAUGGACUCUGAGACACGAGUCCAGGCCCUACGGGGCGCAGCAGCUACGAAAACUUCACAAUGCGGGAAACCGUGAUGAGGGGAUUCCAAGUGCUAAUACUUUGUAUUAGCUGUUUACUUGCCUAAAAAGCAGGUAGAGUAAGGGCUGGGCAAGACUGGUGCCAGCCGCCGCGGUAAUACCAGCAGCCCGAGUGGUGAUCGCUAUUAUUGGGCCUAAAGCGUCCGUAGCCGGUUUGGUAAACCCUUGGGUAAAUCGGGCAGCUUAACUGUCCGACUUCUGAGGAGACUGCCAGACUUGGGACCGGGAGAGGUCAGAGGUACUUCUAGGGUAGAGGUGAAAUUCUGUAAUCCUAGGAGGACCACCAGUGGCGAAGGCGUCUGACUAGAACGGGUCCGACGGUAAGGGACGAAACCCUGGGGCGCGAACCGGAUUAGAUACCCGGGUAGUCCAGGGCGUAAACGCUGCGGGCUUGGUGUUGGGGGUCCUACGAGGGCGUCCAGUGCCGGAGAGAAGUUGUUAAGCCCGCCGCCUGGGGAGUACGGUCGCAAGACUGAAACUUAAAGGAAUUGGCGGGGGAGCACAGCAACGGGUGGAGCGUGCGGUUUAAUUGGACUCAACGCCGGU
rnacentral:rRNA from 1 species